rnacentral:rRNA from 1 species
UACGAGGGGGGCAAGCGUUGUUCGGAAUUAUUGGGCGUAAAGGGUGCGUAGGCGGCGCGGUAAGUCGGGUGUGAAAUCUUGGAGCUUAACUCCGAAACUGCAUUCGAUACUGCCGUGCUUGAGGACUGGAGAGGAGACUGGAAUUUACGGUGUAGCGGUGAAAUACGUAGAUAUCGUAAGGAAGACCAGUGGCGAAGGCGGGUCUCUGGACAGUUCCUGACGCUGAGGCACGAAGGUCAGGGGAGCAAACGGG